rnacentral:hammerhead_ribozyme from 15 species
CAGGCGUCUAAGGUAGGCUUCCACUACAAUGCCUUAGCCUUACUGAUGAGUCCAGUAGUGGAAGUUGGGACGAAACGCCAU